CUGGUGCUGCUCCUCUGCCUGGUGACAUUUCUAAGUUGUGCCCUGUCCCAGGUACAGCUGAAGGAGUCAGGACCUGGCCUAGUGCAGCCUUCACAGACCCUGUCGCUCACCUGCACUGUCUCUGGAAUCUCAUUAACCAACUAUCACAUAAACUGGGUUCGCCAACUUUCAGGAAAGGGUCUGGAGUGGAUAGGAAUAAUAUGGUAUGAUGGAAGCACAAAUUAUAAUUCAGCUCUCCAGUCCCGAAUCAGCAUCACCAGGGACACCUCUAAGAGUCAAGUUUUCUUAAAACUGAACAGUCUGCAAACUGAGGACACAGUCAUGUAUUACUGUGCCAGACACACAGUGAAAGAACUCCAGUGUGAGCCUGCACAAAAACCUCCAUACAGAGAAAUGACCAGCAGGGGGCGUUGGGGACCAACAGGGUCUACCAAGACCA